CCCGGUGCUAUAAUGGCGGUAAUGUACCACCUCUUCCCAUUCCGAACAGAGUCGUGAAAGUUACCAGCGCCGAUGGUAGUUGGUUUACCAGCGAGAGUAGGCCAGUGCCGGGG
rnacentral:rRNA from 1 species